CCUACGGGAGGCUGCAGUGAGGAAUAUUGGUCAAUGGCCGAGAGGCUGAACCAGCCAAGUCGCGUGAGGGAAGACGGCCCUACGGGUUGUAAACCUCUUUUGUCGGGGAGCAAAGCGAACCACGUGUGGUUCAUUGAGAGUACCCGAAGAAAAAGCAUCGGCUAAAUCAGUGCCAGCAGCCGCGGUAAUACGGUGGAUGCGAGCGUUUUCCGGAUUUAUUGGGUUUAACGGGUGCGCAGGCGGUGGUGCAAGUCAGCGGUCAAAUUGCGGGGCUCAACCCCGUACUGCCGUUGAAACGGCAUCCCUUGAGUGCGCGAGAAGUAUGCGGAAUGCGUGGUGUAGCGGUGAAAUGCAUAGAUAGCACGCAGAACUCCGAGUGCGAAGGCAGCAUACCGGCGCGCAACUGACGCUCAUGCACGAAAGCGUGGGUAUCGAACAGGAUUAGAUACCCUAGUAGUC
rnacentral:rRNA from 1 species